GAAAUGCGAUAAGUAGUGUGAAUUGCAGAAUUCAGUGAAUCAUCGAAUCUUUGAACGCACAUUGCGCCCCUUGGGAUUCCAUGGGGCAUGCCUGUUCGAGCGUCAUUUGUACCCUCAAGCUCUGCUUGGUGUUGGGUGUUUGUCCCCGUCUCCGCGCGUGGACUCGCCCCAAAGUGAUUGGCAGCCGGCGUACUGGUCCCGGAGCGCAGCACAUGUCGCGCAAACGAGUGCCUUGGUACGGCGGCGUCCAUAAGCCCCUCUCUCACGCUCUUGACCUCGGAUCAGGUAGGGAUACCCGCUGAACUUAAGC
rnacentral:misc_RNA from 1 species